rnacentral:rRNA from 1 species
GACGUAGGGCGCGAGCGUUGUCCGGAUUUAUUGGGCGUAAAGAGCUCGUAGGCGGUCUGUCGCGUCUGCUGUGAAAACUCGGGGCUUAACCCCGGGCCUGCAGUGGGUACGGGCAGACUAGAGUGCGGUAGGGGAGACUGGAAUUCCUGGUGUAGCGGUGAAAUGCGCAGAUAUCAGGAGGAACACCGGUGGUGUAGACGGCUUUCUGGACCGUAACUGACGCUGAGACACGAAAGCGUGGGUAGCAAACAGG